rnacentral:lncRNA from 1 species
GUGAACCUUAUCACAUUUUAAUUCUGUGGUCACUUAUCUUACAGUUCUCUAACUUCUCUUGUCCACUUUCAUUUAAACAUGUAAGUGUCCAAUCAAAUAUUCUUUCCACAGUAUCUGAACACAAUCUAUGGCCAAUUCCAUCUCUCUUAUUAGCAGGAGAUUGUAUUUUAACCUUAUGGACAUUCAUGUACAUUGAAAUACCAUUUCAGUGUAGUAAUAUAAGAUUUUGUUUAAUAUUUGAAAUCAUUGAGCUUACUUUUUUUUUCAAAAUAUUCUAAUCUAGACCAAUUCCAGGCCUGUGAAUCUGUUGUCAUCAUGACAUAAAUUUUCAUUGUGAGAUCAUCCUCAGCUCCAACAUUCUAUAAGCUCUCCUGGAAACCUUCAGAUUCAUAGUGCCUCAGAGCCACUUAGUCAAGGGUAAUAAUUCUCCACAAGUGUAUGUGUAGAAAUGAGUAAUUUGGUAUGAACAAUGGAGUGAAGCAUAUUUGUUAUAUCAUUGGAAAAGAUGUCCCUGACAAUUCCUUCACAUUAAAAUAUGGCAAAAUUUCAUGCACUAAGCCCAGAAAAUAUCAUGGAAGAGUAAGCAUAAAGAGAGGAGACAUGUGAUGCUAUGAGACUACUAGCAGAUAAAUAAAAGUGCCUAGGUGUGGGAAGGCUUCUCUGAG